ACAGCCACACCAGACCUGAGCCACAUCUGUGACCUACACCACAGGUCACAGCAAUGCCGGAUCCUUAACCCACUGAGCGAGGCCAGGGAUAGAAUUUGCAUGUUCAUGGAUAAUAGCUGGGUUCGUUAUCGAGGAGACACAAUGGGAGCUCCAGGCCUCUCUCGAUUUAAUGGCCUUCCUGUAUCGAUGUUCAUACAUGAGAGAGUUUAACUGCUAUUUUUAUGGGAGACGGUUCUGGGAUUCAGACGUGCAGAUUUUUUAUAUUUAAAAAAAAAAGUUUUUUUAGAACAGGCGAUAUACAAAGAUACACUCCAGGGAUUAUCUUUUUAUAAACCCUGGCCCUGGUGUUCUGUGGGAAAGUUACUUAUUUAGCCUGUGUUUCUUUCACUGAGGCAGACUGAUUCCGGGAUUUGGCAGCUCCAUGAAAAGUCCAAGUCGAUACUAUAUUUAUUUCAUCAAUAUCUAUUCUUGGCGAUACAGUGUUUUGAGCUUGACUUGAUACUGAUGUUGCCUUUCUUGCCCUCUUCCUUUGUCUCUGGCUGAUGUGACCCGCUCAUCUCAGUUUUUUAUUUUGCCUUUUAGGGCCACACCUGCAGCAUAUGGGGGUUCCCAGCCUAGGGGUUGAAUCAGAGCUUCACCUGCCAGCCUACACCACAGCCACAGCAACGCCAGACCCGAGCCUCAUCUGCGACCAACACCGCAGCUCACGGCAAUGCUGGAUCCUUAACCCACUGAGCGAGGCCAGGGAUUGAACCUGCAUCCUCAUGGAUACUAGUUGGGUUCGUUACCGCUGAGCCUCACAGGAACUCUCCUUCUGUGUUAUUUUAUAUUUAUUAAAUGUGUGCAUUUUUAUGGAGGCUCAAUUUACAUGUAGUCAAAUGCCCACGUCUUGACUGCGAUGCUUGGUAACUUUUUAGACAGGCACAUGGUCAAGUAACUAGCACUCAGAUCAAAAGGUACACAACACUUCCAUCACCACACAAAGCUGCCAAACCCUAACCAGUCAACAACCUCCUCUCCGAGGUGCCUGAUAUUCUGGAUGGUACCUCCAAUUUAGCUGGGCAUGACAUACAAUUUGAUGCAAGCGUUUCUCACACAGUAUGUAUGUAUUUUGGUUCUCUUUUACACAGCACAUUUUUAGCAUUCAUCAACAUGGUCACAUAUACUGCUUAUUUCUUUUCUUUUCUAAGCAAUAUUCCAUUGUUUGAAUAUAGGAAAGUUUCCUUAUUUUCUAAAUGAUGGCUGUUUCCUUUGUUUUUAAUCCUGCUAAUUUUCUAUCUUCCUUUUUUUUUUUUUUUUUUUUUUUUUCUUUUUUGGGCCAUACCUGUGACAUACGGAAGUUCUGAGACCAGGGGUUGAACUGGUGCUGCAGCUGAGGCCCCCGGCACAGCCAGAACAACCCCGGAUCUCAGCCACAUCUGAAACCUGUGCCACAGCUUGUGGCAAUGCUGGAUCCUUACCUGAGCAAGACCAGGAAUUGCCCCUGAAUCCUCGUGGAGGCAUCAGGUUCUUAACCCGCUAGCCACAACAGGAACUCCUAUAUCUUCUAAAUAACUCUUUUCGUAAAGAAAUGCUUAAUUUCUUUUGGAUAUAUAUGUAGGAGUGAACCUGCCUGAUCAUUUGGUGAGGAUUUAUUUAAUAAUGUCAGAGACAAAUAAUUUUCCCAAGUGUGUCACUUUAUAAUCCCAUCAACAAAGUAUGAGACUUCCAGUUACUCUAUAUCUUUGCCAAUACUUCAUGUUGUUAUUUCAAAAAAUAAUUUAGCCAUUCUGCUGGGUAUGUUCUGGUUUGUCCUUGUGAUUUUACUUUUGAUAGGCCCCAGUUGGUGAUGAAAUAUUGUUUUUAACAUAUCAUCGAAUUUGCUAUUGUUUUAUUAGGAUGUUUCUACUUAUAUUCAUGAGAGAUAUUGGUAUAAUUCACUUUCUCCUGCAAAGUCCUUGGUAUCAAGGGUCAGGUGGCCUCAUAAAGAGAGAAAGGAAUCCUUCUUUCUAUAGUUUCUUAAAGAAUAUGUGUAUGGUUGUAUCAUUAAUUAACGGUUAGUUCACUAGCACAACAGUUGAAUUGUUAAGUGUUUUGUUUUGUUUUGUUUUGCUUUUUAGGGCCACACCUGUGGCACAUGGAGGUUCCCAGGUUAGGGGUUGAAUCAGAGCUGUAGUUGCUGGCCUAAGCCACAGCCACAGCCACACCAGAUCCAAGCCAUGUCUGCAACCUACACCAUAGCUCAUGGUAAUGCUGGAUCCUUAACCCACUGAGCAAGGCCAGGGAUCGAACCCACAACUUCAUGGUUCCUACUAGGAUUCAUUUCCGCUGCGCCACGACGGGAACUCCAUGCUUUUAGACUUUUUGAUGAUGGCCAUUCUGGCCGGUGUAAGGUGGUACCUCAUGGGUUGGUGCUUUCUCUGUUGGAGCUGAGUCUCUGACCUGCUCCUGCCCUCGCACCUCACGGCUCUUGGUUCUCAGGUCAUGCAUUUUGGACUGAACUACAGCACGGCUUUCUGGGAAGCCAGCUUGUGGGUGGCAGAUCCUGGGACCUCUCGGCCUCCAUUGCUCAUGCACCUACCCCUCACGAUCCACCUGAUUCUGUGUGUGUGCGCACGCGAGCGCAUGCAUGUGCACGUGUGCCCUCUGAGGUUCUGUUCUCUGGAGAGCCCCGACUCCAGCAUCAUCUUGUCCAGUUACAUCUUCUACUGAACCUGUCACUUGAGGGUCUUUUCGUUUCAGCAACUGUACUUCACAUCUCCAGUUCUUUUUAAAA
rnacentral:lncRNA from 1 species